CCAGUAUGGCGAAGCAGUUUGGAAGGUUUCUCUCUGUCACUUUCUCUUUCUUUCUCUUUCAUGCUCUCUCGCUCUCACUCCCAAACCCUAGCUCUUUAACCCGGUUUUUUUCCUUCCAGUUCGUAUUUCUCUUUAAUCUUCGCCAAUUUCUUCCUUUAUUAUUCUGAAAUCACCAAUCGCUACGAUCCCCACCCACAAUCCUAACCGUAGCUACUCGAAUUCGUCGUCUGAGUGGAACCUCAACAACCUGGUUGACACAUUCUGGUCUGAGAUCUCAACCGGCUUCCCCCUCAUGUGUUUUUGUCUCUUUCAUUUGAUGAAGAUCUUGGGAUGUUUGAGAAGAAAGACGAUGAUCAGAAAUUUAAAAGCAAGAAAAAUAAAAAGAGAAUAAACAUGGAGGCAUCAAAUCAGUUCCUAGAUAAUGACAGAAAGAGAACUAAUCAUGAAUUGAUCUCUAAGAUAAAAGUGGAGGUUGAAGCUGACUACAAGGCUGCAACUUUUGCCCUAGAUGUUAUGGAGAGGAGACAAAUGCAAUCUGAAACACUCUUUACCGUGUUUGACACGUAUUUUUGCAAUUUGAAGCACACAAUGCAUUCU